rnacentral:rRNA from 1 species
CAAUAGCGUAUAUUUAAGUUGUUGCAGUUAAAAAGCUCGUAGUUGGAUUUCGGAUGGGACUUGCCGGUCCGUCGUUUCGAUGUGCACUGGCCAGUCCUAUCUUGUUGUCGGGGACUAGCUCCUGGGCUUCACUGUCCGGGACUAGGAGCUGACGAGGUUACUUUGAGUAAAUUAGAGUGUUCAAAGCAAGCCUACGCUCUGAAUACAUUAGCAUGGAAUAACACGAUAGGACUCUGGCUUAUCUUGUUGGUCUGUGAGACCAGAGUAAUGAUUAAGAGGGACAGUCGGGGGCAUUCGUAUUUCAUUGUCAGAGGUGAAAUUCUUGGAUUUCUGGAAGACGAACUACUGCGAAAGCAUUUACCAAGGAUGUUUUCAUUAA